rnacentral:snoRNA from 1 species
CUGCAAAUAUUCUCACUGUUCUGAUUUUGUGAUAAUCAGGGCAGGCUAAACAUUCACUAUAUUAAGACCAUGCAUGUGUACCCACACCUAGUUCUUUCCAUAGGCCUGGUUUUCUAAAUGCUGAUGAUAAAA